AGUGAACGCUGGCGGUAGGCCUAACACAUGCAAGUCGAACGGCAGCACAGUAAGAGCUUGCUCUUACGGGUGGCGAGUGGCGGACGGGUGAGGAAUACAUCGGAAUCUGCUUUUUCGUGGGGGAUAACGUAGGGAAACUUACGCUAAUACCGCAUACGACCUACGGGUGAAAGCAGGGGAUCUUCGGACCUUGCGCGAUUGAAUGAGCCGAUGUCGGAUUAGCUAGUUGGCGGGGUAAAGGCCCACCAAGGCGACGAUCCGUAGCUGGUCUGAGAGGAUGAUCAGCCACACUGGAACUGAGACACGGUCCAGACUCCUACGGGAGGCGGCAGUGGGGAAUAUUGGACAAUGGGCGCAAGCCUGAUCCAGCCAUACCGCGUGGGUGAAGAAGGCCUUCGGGUUGUAAAGCCCUUUUGUUGGGAAAGAAAAGCAGCAGGUUAAUACCCCGCUGUUCUGACGGUGCCCAAAGAAUAAGCACCGGCUAACUUCGUG
rnacentral:rRNA from 1 species